AGAGUUUGAUCAUGGCUCAGGACGAACGCUGGCGGCGUGCUUAACACAUGCAAGUCGAACGGAAGGGCCCUUCGGGGUACUCGAGUGGCGAACGGGUGAGUAACACGUGGGUGAUCUGCCCUGCACUUUGGGAUAAGCCUGGGAAACUGGGUCUAAUACCGAAUAGGACCGCGCGCUUCAUGGUGUGUGGUGGAAAGCUUUUGCGGUGUGGGAUGGGCCCGCGGCCUAUCAGCUUGUUGGUGGGGUAAUGGCCUACCAAGGCGACGACGGGUAGCCGGCCUGAGAGGGUGACCGGCCACACUGGGACUGAGAUACGGCCCAGACUCCUACGGGAGGCAGCAGUGGGGAAUAUUGCACAAUGGGCGCAAGCCUGAUGCAGCGACGCCGCGUGAGGGAUGACGGCCUUCGGGUUGUAAACCUCUUUCACCAGGGACGAAGCGCAAGUGACGGUACCUGGAGAAGAAGCACCGGCCAACUACGUGCCAGCAGCCGCGGUAAUACGUAGGGUGCGAGCGUUGUCCGGAAUUACUGGGCGUAAAGAGCUCGUAGGUGGUUUGUCGCGUUGUUCGUGAAAACUCACAGCUUAACUGUGGGCGUGCGGGCGAUACGGGCAGACUAGAGUACUGCAGGGGAGACUGGAAUUCCUGGUGUAGCGGUGGAAUGCGCAGAUAUCAGGAGGAACACCGGUGGCGAAGGCGGGUCUCUGGGCAGUAACUGACGCUGAGGAGCGAAAGCGUGGGGAGCGAACAGGAUUAGAUACCCUGGUAGUCCAA
rnacentral:rRNA from 1 species